rnacentral:rRNA from 1 species
GAUCCUGGCUCAGGAUGAACGCUGGCGGCAUGCCUAAUACAUGCAAGUCGAACGGACCGAAGGGAAAGCUUGCUUUUCCUGAAGUCAGUGGCGAACGGGUGAGUAACACGUAGGUAACCUGCCCAUGUGCCCGGGACAACGCCUGGAAACGGGUGCUAAAACCGGAUAGGUAGAGAGAUCGCAUGAACUUUCUAUUAAAGGGGCUACGGCCCUGAACAUGGAUGGACCUGCGGUGCAUUAGCUAGUUGG